rnacentral:rRNA from 1 species
GAUGAACGCUGGCGGCGUGCCUAAUACAUGCAAGUCGAGCGAACAGACGGGGAGCUUGCUCCUCUGACGUUAGCGGCGGACGGGUGAGUAACACGUGGAUAACCUACCUAUAAGACUGGGAUAACUUCGGGAAACCGGAGCUAAUACCGGAUAAUAUAUUGAACCGCAUGGUUCAAUAGUGAAAGACGGUUUUGCUGUCACUUAUAGAUGGAUCCGCGCCGCAUUAGCUAGUUGGUAAGGUAACGGCUUACCAAGGCGACGAUGCGUAGCCGACCUGAGAGGGUGAUCGGCCACACUGGAACUGAGACACGGUCCAGACUCCUACGGGAGGCAGCAGUAGGGAAUCUUCCGCAAUGGGCGAAAGCUUGACGGAGCAACGCCGCGUGAGUGAUGAAGGUCUUCGGAUCGUAAAACUCUGUUAUUAGGGAAGAACAAAUGUGUAAGUAACUAUGCACGUCUUGACGGUACCUAAUCAGAAAGCCACGGCUAACUACGUG